CUGACCUAUCAACUCGAGACGGCGGGGUAGAGGCCCGCCGCGGUAACGACGGGUAACGGGGAAUCAGGGUUCGAUUCCGGAGAGGGAGCCCGAGAAACGGCUACCACUUCCAAGGAAGGCAGCAGGCGCGCAACUUACCCUAAUCUCGAUUCGAGGAGGUAGUGACAAGAAAUACCGAUGCGGGAACCCUACGGGUGCCGCGUUCGGAAUGAGUACGAUUCGAACCACCUAACGAGGAACGAUCGGAGGGCAAGUCUGGUGCCAGCAGCCGCGGUAAUUCCAGCUCCAAUAGCGUACGUUAAAGUUGCUGCAGUUAAAAAGCUCGUAGUUGAACGUUCGGGUUCCGCGGGACGGGGCCGCCCCGCGAGGGACGGCGCCGCCCCGGGGCUCGUGAUAUCUUAUCUCGCCGCCCGUCGCGAGGCGGACGGAGGGAUGGAUGAGGUUACCUGGAAAAAAUCGGGGCGAUCUAGGCGGGCGAACCUCGCCAACGAACGAUCGGACAUGGGAUAACGGAAGAGGGCGUCGGCUCGACUUCGUCGGUUCCUCGGGCCGAGGCACGUACG
rnacentral:rRNA from 1 species